AGUGAACGCUGGCGGUAGGCCUAACACAUGCAAGUCGAACGGCAGCACAGUAAGAGCUUGCUCUUACGGGUGGCGAGUGGCGGACGGGUGAGGAAUACAUCGGAAUCUACUUUUUCGUGGGGGAUAACGUAGGGAAACUUACGAUAAUACCGCAUACGACCUACGGGUGAAAGCAGGGGAUCUUCUGACCUUGCGCGAUUGAAUGAGCCGAUGUCGGAUUAGCUAGUUGGCGGGGUAAAGGCCCACCAAGGCGACGAUCCGUAGCUGGUCUGAGAGGAUGAUCAGCCACACUGGACCUGAGACACGGUCCAGACUCCUACGGAAGGCAGCAGUGGGGAAUAUUGGACAAUGGGCGCAAGCCUGAUCCAGCCAUACCGCGUGGGUGAAGAAGGCCUUCGGGUUGUAAAGCCCUUUUGUUGGGAAAGAAAAGCAGCAGGUUAAUACCCCGCUGUUCUGACGGUACCCAAAGAAUAAGCACCGGCUAACUUCGUG
rnacentral:rRNA from 1 species